CUUUAGUUAUUUUUUUAUUACUAUUUUAUAGAUAAAUAUAGAUAUGUGUUUCUACGGUUAAAGGUUAUCUGAUACAAAACAUUUAUUUAUUAAAAGGAAACCAUUACCGUUUGAAAUACUGAACACGACAAACGAUGUCUAAGUUUACAAUCCUCAUUGUGUUUUUGGCCGUGUUCGCCAUCGUUGCCGCCCGUCCUCAAGGUGUGUCAGUCGUCGAUAAUGGCAGUCAAGUGAACGUCGUGGAUUCGGAUCCGGAUAGUCAAGUCAAAAUCAACGACCCAGAUAGUCAAGUGAAAAUUGUGGAUUCUGGAGAUCAAGUUAACGUAGUAGACUGACAGAGUUAGUAACACGAGGCAAUGUUAUAUUACAAUAUGAACACAAUUAUAAAAUAGCCCUCGUACUAAAGAAAUUACUGUUAUAUUUAAGAAUAUAAAAUUUUAUCCGAUAA